rnacentral:misc_RNA from 1 species
GAUGAAGAACGUAGUGAAAUGCGAUACGUAAUGUGAAUUGCAGAAUUCAGUGAAUCAUCGAGUCUUUGAACGCACAUUGCGCCCCCUGGUAUUCCGGGGGGCAUGCCUGUCCGAGCGUCAUUGCUGCCCUCAAGCACGGCUUGUGUGUUGGGCUUCCGUCCCUGGCAACGGGGACGGGCCCAAAAGGCAGUGGCGGCACCAUGUCUGGUCCUCGAGCGUAUGGGGCUUUGUCACCCGCUCCCGUAGGUCCAGCUGGCAGCUAGCCUCGCAACCAAUCUUUUUAACCAGGUUGACCUCGGAUCAGGUAGGGAUACCCGCUGAACUUAAGCAUAUCAAUAAGCGGAGGA